GAAGACCCCACCCCGGACUUCCUGGGGGGCGGGGGCGGGGCUGGCGGGAAGACUCGGAAGGCUAGCUGCUGCGGGCCUCAGCCGGGAGCUGGGGAAACCGCCGGCCUAGCCUCUGAGGGUUGAGGAACUGUCAGGGCGGGACUGCUGGCCCGGCCCGGUUUGCCUGACUUCAGAGGAAAUGGAGCCUGGCUUCGUUUCUCCAGAAACCUCGAAAGAGGCCAGAGCACCUGGCAGGAAGUCCCUUUUUCCCCCCCGAGGGAGAGUCUGGACCUUCUGCAGCCGGGUCCGCCCCCACCCCCACCCCGCCAGGCUGGGCCAGAUGUGAUGUUCCCCCUAAAGUCUGGCUUUUCAUCCCGCCGUCCAUCACCCCGCCUGGGCCUCCCCUGGGUGAACUUCCCAGUCCCUUGCCCUCGCGCCUCUCCGCUCAUUGCUGGCCCUCCUGACCCGGUCCCCACACGCUGUCCGCGACGAGAUCUGUGGAGAUCCGCCUGCUGCCGAAGUGCUCUGCCGUCGGAUGUGGCAAUACACGUAAACCUCUGCGCGGCCGAUGUCGGAUGUCUAGCGAACCAAGCCCUCUCCAAGAAGUUCUGGAUCUCAGCCCUGCAGAGGGACCGCUUCCGUGGGAGCUCUGUCUCACCCGGGGUGAUGGCCACUCCCGGCAUCUGCUGUGCCUGCGUUUUUUAAUUUCAUGAGGAGCUCCCUAAGCCUACGCAACAGAGGAGGGAGAAUCGGUCUGUUGUUCACAGGGGGCUUUGUGCGAUAGCUGCCGUCAAAUGGAGGUGUGCGACCACUGCAUCAAGUCCCACUCAAGGAUGGUCCUGAAAGACAGUAGUGAAGGGAGAGCCUCCCGGUGGUCCCCUUUCGGCCAGUCUGAUCAUCUGCUUUGCUUUGGAAGAAAGGUGGCUGGGGCUCUGGAUCUACACUGACUAAUGAGCGACGGGCAACAGACUGGCUGGCCGGUCAGGCACCUCUAAUGGUCAAGACCAGGAAGUCUGGGAAAGAGGUCCAUGGACGGAAGUCCCAGAAGGAGCACCAGGUGAAGACACAGAGAUGUCGUGAGGCUGACCUUGACAGACUGCAUCAUCCGGACUCCCUCACCUUCCGGCUUCUAGUUGGAUGUGGCCAGUGGAAGCGCUGCAGGACAUCAAAGUCCCCAGAACACCACCAGGCAUACAGUAAGCUCUCAACACCGACCGACUCGUCGAAUGAAUGAAAGAACAGUAGAGCUGUGAAGAGAAUUCCCCAGAUUAACGUGAAGGGGGAUUCCAGGAUGACAGCUGUGGGCAGCCAGUCCAGGUGGAACAGGUCAGAAGGCCCCAGAAGAGCCUAUGGAGCCUGAAUGCCCUGAGAAGAGGUCUGGUUAGUCUGCAGAGCUUUGGGGUUGAUUUGAUAAGUACACAGAAAACUAAGCAAACAAACAAACAAGCAUUUUUUUAAAAAAGGUAAUUAUUAUUGUGGUGCAUGCACACAAUGGAAUAUUAUUCUAAAAAGAAAUGAGCCCUCAAGCCACAAGGAGACAUGGAAGGAGGAGCCUUAAGUGCACAUUUCGAAGUGAAAGAAGCCAAUCUGAAAAAGCUACAUCCUGUAUGAUUCUAACUAUAUGACAUUCUGAAAAAGGCAAAGCUAUAGAAACAGUUAAAGAUCAGUGGUGGUCAGGGCUUAGGAGAGGGAAAGAUGAACAGACAGCACGGAGGAUUUCAGGCAGUGAAACUACUCUGGAUGGCACUAUAAUGCUGGAUACGUGUCCUUAUACGUUUAUCCAAAUCCAGAGAAUGUACACCACCAAGAGCGAACCCUCACGUAAACUAUGGACUUUGGGCGAUUGUGAUGUGUCAGUGUAUGUUCAUCAGUAGUUACAAG